rnacentral:rRNA from 1 species
CCUACGGGUUGCACCAGUGGGGAAUAUUGCACAAUGGGCGCAAGCCUGAUGCAGCCAUGCCGCGUGUAUGAAGAAGGCCUUCGGGUUGUAAAGUACUUUCAGCGAGGAGGAAGGCGUUAAGGUUAAUAACCUUGGCGAUUGACGUUACUCGCAGAAGAAGCACCGGCUAACUCCGUGCCAGCAGCCGCGGUAAUACGGAGGGUGCAAGCGUUAAUCGGAAUUACUGGGCGUAAAGCGCACGCAGGCGGUCUGUCAAGCCGGAUGUGAAAUCCCCGGGCGCAACCUGGGAACUGCAUUCGAAACUGGCAGGCUAGAGUCCUGUAGAGGGGGGUAGAAUUCCAGGUGUAGCGGUGCAAUGCGUAGAGAUCUGGAGGAAUACCGGUGGCGAAGGCGGCCCCCUGGACAAAGACUGACCCUCAGGUGCGAAAGCGUGGGGAGCAAACAGGAUUAGAUACCCGGGUAGUC